rnacentral:rRNA from 1 species
GGGCCCGCACAAGCGGUGGAGCAUGUGGUUUAAUUCGAUGAUACGCGAGGAACCUUACCAGGGCUUAAAUGUAGUCUGACAGGGGUGGAAACACCCCCUCCUUCGGGCAGAUUACAAGGUGCUGCAUGGUUGUCGUCAGCUCGUGCCGUGAGGUGUCAGGUUAAGUCCUAUAACGAGCGCAACCCCUGCCGUUAGUUGCCAGCAUGUAAUGAUGGGAACUCUAACGGGACUGCCGGUGCAAACCGCGAGGAAGGUGGGGAUGACGUCAAAUCAUCACGGCCCUUACGUCCUGGCUACACACGUGCUACAAUGGUCGGUACAGAAAGCAGCCACUAUGCGAAUAGGAGCU